CUUUGAACCAUUGCCAUUGCUCUUCCUUCCACAUCUAGGUGAUUCUCACCCCAGUUACUUUGCUGUCUUCCCUUUGGCCUCCUGUAGGAUCUUCCAGGUACAAGUUGUAGAAUCCAGUACUGUGGUCUUGGUGCUACCUUCUAAAAUGCCCAGCACUUCAUGAUAACACAUUCAAGGAGUUUUUCAAAGGACGGACAGAUGCCUGGUCACCAUGUACUGCUGCUGACAGAGCCCUGGAGAAAACCUCUGGCAGAAUGAACUCAAGCAGACAGGCCAGGACCUGAUCUGGCACGAACAGAAACCCAUAUCCGGGGGUGAGCGUACAUCCGAUAUGACACCUGAAAGGAGAUACUGUAGACAAAGAUGGUACUCUUGUUAUGCAGUGGAGAGAAAGAAUCAAGAUCAUUAGGAGGGCUAAAAUAAGAAUAUUGCAGAACAAGAAAACCUCAUCUCUAAAAUAAGAAUAUUGCAGGAGAACAAGAAAAGCUCGUCUGAUGAAUUGUUUCAUUGACUUAUGUGGAGUUAUACUGAUUUACACAGCUAAUGACUGCUCCAUUCCGCUGAACUACCAAGGACUAUCAAGCUGAACGCAAUGUCAUAAUAUGACAAUAUUCAGUACUUAAAAGCUUUUUAAUGUCAGAUUUGCAAAUGUCUCAAUUUCAGAAUAUGAAGGAGACAUCAUUGAAUUUCCACAUUGUCACAGAAUCCAGAAAUCUUGCCAUUUCUUCACAGUGGAUUGUUUGGGAUUGAAAUAUUUCUCAUGAAUAAAUUAAGUAAUAUAAAAAUUGACAGCUCAACUAUAACAUCUGCUCAUCCAUAAAAGAGUCACUCCACCCAGUUGAGUGGGUGAAGUAAACUUUACAAGGUUGAAUUAAUGUAGGUACUGAUGGAAAUACAACCCUUUUUAAUCAGCAUAAUUUCAAAAUAAAUUCUUAAGUAAUA